ensembl:snRNA Gm24552 predicted gene, 24552
UUGGUGGCUGAUUAUAGGAUGGACCACUGGAACAAUACAGAGAAGAUUAACAUGGCCCCUGCACAAGGUUGACCAGUCUUCACUUUCGCUUUUCUAACUUUUU